GGAGUUGUAAAGGUACAUCCAGCUGUGCAUUCUGUUUGGCCAUAGCCUUCAUAAACCUGACGAAGACACAGGAUCCAGCGCUUGAGGGAUGUGUCAGCCUGGCUGAAGAUCUGCAGGAGCACAGGAUGGCAGACAAGGUGUCACAGAGAAGAGAGAGCACCUCGACAUCUAUUCUCCCCAUGACACCCACCCAGCCAGGUGGAUAGUCAAGUUUUCAGCACAGCCGUGGCACGACAGGGAAGAUGGUUGGCCGCAGUGCCUUCAUAUCAUCAGACAGGAGGCGAAUAUCUCCUUGGAAGAAGCCAAUUCGCCCUCCGUGGCAGUAUACUACAGACUGAUGGGGAGAAAG